GAUGAAGAACGUAGCGAAAUGCGAUACGUAAUGUGAAUUGCAGAAUUCAGUGAAUCAUCGAAUCUUUGAACGCACAUUGCACUCUCUGGUAUUCCGGAGAGUAUGCUUGUUUGAGUAUCUGUAAACAUCUCAAAUCUCUCUUCAAUUGCUUCAAUUGGGUCGAGAGAAUUGGAUUUGAGCGAUCCCGACUCCUUCGUCAGAAAGAGGAGGGUCGCUUGAAAUGCAGGUGCAGCUGGACAUUCUUCUGAGCAAAAAGCAUAUCUAUUUAGUCCCGUCAAACUGAUUAUUACUUUUGCUUCAGCUAAUAUAAAGGUUGAAUGAACUACCAACGCUGAUUGCAGGAAAACAUGUUCGUUUAUUCGGACUUGUAAACUCGAUCUCAAAUCAAGUAAGACUACCCGCUGAACUUAAGCAUAUCAAUAAGCGGAGGA
rnacentral:misc_RNA from 1 species